AGUGAACGCUGGCGGUAGGCCUAACACAUGCAAGUCGAGCGGCAGCACAGUAAGAGCUUGCUCUUACGGGUGGCGAGUGGCGGACGGGUGAGGAAUACAUCGGAAUCUACUUUUUCGGGGGGGAUAACGUAGGGAAACUUACGCUAAUACCGCAUACGCCCUACGGGUGAAAGCAGGGGAUCUUCGGACCUUGCGCGAUUGAAUGAGCCGAUGUCGGAUUAGCUAGUUGGCGGGGUAAAGGCCCACCAAGGCGACGAUCCGUAGCUGGUCUGAGAGGAUGGUCAGCCACACGGGAACUGAGACACGGUCCAGACUCCUACGGGAGGCAGCAGUGGGGAAUAUUGGACAAUGGGCGCAAGCCUGAUCCAGCCAUACCGCGUGGGUGAAGAAGGCCUUCGGGUUGUAAAGCCCUUUUGUUGGGAAAGAAAAGCAGCAGGUUAAUACCCCGCUGUUCUGACGGUACCCAAAGAAUAAGCACCGGCUAACUUCGUG
rnacentral:rRNA from 1 species